rnacentral:rRNA from 1 species
AUGAACGCUAGUGACAGGCCUAACACAUGCAAGUCAGGGGCAGCACAAGGAGCAAUCUGAGGUGGCGACCGGCGCACGGGUGAGUAACACGUAUGCAACCUGCCUGUAAGCGGGGAAUAACCCGUUGAAAGACGGACUAAUACCGCAUAAUACUAAAUUACUGCAUGGUAAUUUAUUUAAACAUUUAUGGCUUACAGAUGGGCAUGCGCAUGAUUAGCUAGUUGGAGAGGUAACGGCUCCCCAAGGCAACGAUCAUUAGGGGUUCUGAGAGGAAGGUCCCCCACACUGGUACUGAGACACGGACCAGACUCCUACGGGAGGCAGCAGUGAGGAAUAUUGGUCAAUGGACGAGAGUCUGAACCAGCCAAGUCGCGUGCAGGAAGAAUGUCCCUAUGGAUUGUAAACUGCUUUUGCAGGGGAAUAAAGUGCAUCACGUGUGAUGUUUUGUAUGUACUCUGCGAAUAAGGAUCGGCUAACUCCGUGCCAGCCGCCGC